UAAACGACUCUCGGCAACGGAUAUCUCGGCUCUCGCAUCGAUGAAGAACGUAGCGAAAUGCGAUACUUGGUGUGAAUUGCAGAAUCCCGUGAACCAUCGAGUCUUUGAACGCAAGUUGCGCUCGAAGCCAUUAGGCCGAGGGCACGCCUGCCUGGGCGUCACAC
rnacentral:rRNA from 1 species